rnacentral:rRNA from 1 species
GAAAGUAAAGAAGGGCGCAUGGCGGAUGCCUUGGCUCUCGGAGGCGAUGAAGGACGUGAUAAGCUGCGAUAAGCUCCGGGGAGGUGCAAAUAACCUUUGAUCCGGGGAUUUCCGAAUGGGACAACCCGGCGUGUUGAAGACACGCCACCUGAUCAUUUCAGGAGCUAACGCAGGGAACUGAAACAUCUUAGUACCUGCAGGAAAAGAAAAUAACAAUGAUUCCCCCAGUAGUGGCGAGCGAACGGGGAAUAGCCCAAACCGUUCAUGUUACGGCAUGAUCGGGGUUGUAGGACUACGUCGUUGCAUGAAGACAUCGGAGAAGAACUUUCUGGAAAGGAAGACCAUAGAGCAUGACAGUUGCGUAUUCGUAUGUUGUCGAAGCAUAGUAGUAUCCUGAGUAGCGCGGAGCACGAGGAAUUCUGCGUGAAUCUGCCGGGACCAUCCGGUAAGGCUAAAUACUCCCGAGAGACCGAUAGCGAACCAGUACCGUGAGGGAAAGGUGAAAAGCACUUCGAACAGAAGAGUGAAAUAGUUCCUGAAACCGUGCGCCUACAAGCGGUCGGAGCUGCUUAAAGCAGUGACGGCGUGCCUUUUGCAUAAUGAACCUACGAGUUGCCUUUGCCGGCAAGGUUAAGUGUGACGACACACGUAUCCGAAGCGAAAGCGAGUCUGAAUAGGGCGCAUAGUCGGCAGUGGCAGACGCGAAACCAAGUGAUCUACCCUUGGCCAGGUUGAAGGCUGGGUAACACCAGCUGGAGGACCGCACCAAUAAGCGUUGAAAAGCUUCUGGAUGAGCUGAGGGUAGGGGUGAAAGGCUAAUCAAACUUGGAGAUAGCUCGUACUCCCCGAAAUGCAUUUAGGUGCAGCCUUGUGGGUUACUGAUGUGAGGUAGAGCGACUGAUAAGAUGCGAGGGCUUCACCGCCUAUCAAGUCUUGACAAACUCCGAAUGCGCAUCAGUUUUACCUCAGGAGUGAGGGCAUGGGUGCUAAGGUCCGUGCCCGAGAGGAGAAGAAUCCGGACCACCUGCUAAGGUCCCGAAAUGACAGCUAAGUUAAACUAACGAAGUCUGACUGCUAAGACAGCUAGGAUGUUGGCUUGGAAGCAGCCAUUCAUUUAAAGAGUGCGUAACAGCUCACUAGUCGAGGAGUCUGGCGUGGAUAAUAAUCGGGUAUUAAGUUGUCUACCGAAGCAGUGGGAUCAUUGAAAUGAUCGGUAGGGGAGCAUUCCAGUCAGCGUCGAAGGCGUACCGCGAGGUAUUCUGGAGCGUCUGGAAAAGCAAAUGUAGGUAUAAGUAACGAUAAAGGGGGCGGGAAACCCCCUCGCCGAAAGACUAAGGUUUCCUGAUCAACGCUAAUCGGAUCAGGGUAAGUCGGGUCCUAAGGCUCAGCCGAAGGGCGAUGCCGAUGGCAGAAACGGUUAAUAUUCCGUUACUACCUCCAGGAGUGAUGUGGAGACGCAGUAGUGACAAUGCCGCCAUCUGACGGAAUAGAUGGUUGAAGGGUGUAGAUGUUGAUCUUGGCAGGCAAAUCCACCAUGAGAAUCGAACCUGAUAGUAUGCCGCGUCCCUCGGGACAAGGCAAUAGUGCAUGUAAUCAUGCUGCCAAGAAAAUCCGCUAAACAAAAUCCUGUAGGUACCCGUACCGUAAACGGACACACGUAGUCGGGAUGAAUAUUCUAAGGCGCUUGAGUGAUUCACGGUUAAGGAACUAGGCAAACUGACCCUGUAACUUCGGGAUAAAGGGUCCCUACCCGGUGACGGGAGGGCGCAGAGAAUAGGUCCAGGCAACUGUUUAACAAAAACACAGGGCUGUGCUAAAUCGAAAGAUCCUGUAUACAGCCUGACACCUGCCCGGUGCUGGAAGGUUAAGAGGAGACGUCAUCGUUGAGAGAAGCGUUGAAUUGAAGCCCCAGUAAACGGCGGCCGUAACUAUAACGGUCCUAAGGUAGCGAAAUUCCUUGUCGGGU